UGAGCAACCUACCGAAAUGUGGGGGAUAGCCGGCCUAACGGCCGAGUAAUACCGCAUGCGCUCUCGAUGAGGCAUUUCAUUGAGAGGAAAACCUACGGGACAUUUCGAGGGGCUCGCGGCCUAUCAGCUAGUUGGAGAGGUAACGGCUCACCAAGGCAACGACGGGUAGCUGGUCUGAGAGGAUGGCCAGCCACAUUGGGACUGAGAUACGGUCCAGACUCCGUAGGAGG
rnacentral:rRNA from 1 species